rnacentral:lncRNA from 1 species
GGCUCACCUCACCAACAAAGCGCGGUUUCCUCCCCUCGCCAUUCUUCCUCAUGGUCGUGCACCCGGCUCACCUCAACAACAAGACGCGGUUUCCCCCCUCGCGAUCCUUCCUCGUGGUCGCGCACCCGGUUGGAUUUCACAGUCAUGGAAGUUCUGCUUUAAAAUCCGUUUCUAAAGAAGUGUUAAUGGCAGCAGUGAGCCCCCGUGCCUCUGAUUGUCAUCUUUGGGGGCCAGAGAAGUGAGCAGCUGUCCUUCCCAGUCCCUGGUCCCUCCAAGCAGUGAUAACAAAGAAUGGACCAGGUGAGGCAUUGUGUGUAGACA